rnacentral:lncRNA from 1 species
CUCUCUCUUUCUCACUCAGCUUUCUCAGAUCUCGAUUCUCAUUCUCUCAUUCGUCUUCUCUCUCUCUCAAUUCUUCUUCUUAGUCUCUCCCUCUUCUUCUUAGUUUUGAUUUUAGGGUUUGAUUUCAAUUAGGUUUUCCUUCUAUUUAGGGAUGGGGUGAAUGGAUUUUACUUUUCCUCUUAUCCUCGCCAAAAUGACCAACACUGUUCGGUGUUCUAAUUACUGAAAACCCAGACCUCUCUCUCUCUAACUCUCAACCUCCUUCAAUGUCGACGGCAGCGAAACGACGGCAUUCAGUGACUCUUGUCUUGGUCUCUCCAGGAAUAUGAAGUGAAUCACUAAGUGACUCGUCGUCCCUCUCUCUCAAUCUCUCCUGGACGGUCGUCGGCACUAGCCCUCUCCCUCUAUCCUCAAAGGCCGACGGCACCGACUCUUUCUCCUUGAUAAUGAUCAGGUGCAAGUUCUCGUUUAAGCUUUGUUUUUGAAAAAGGUGUUGGCUUUGGUGAAUUUCUCCGGGAUUUAUGUGAUUUGGGUUUUCGUUCGAUUUGGUUUUUAUUGUGUUUUUCAUGCUUUUCUUGCUAGCUUUGGUUGCUGGGAUAUUGAAGACAAAAUAAAAGAGAGAGAAAAUGAAAUGGGCUCUACUAUGAAGAGUUAA